AAUUCUCUGCAUGCCGUCAAGACUUGCAAAUGUGUUCGGUUCAUCGGGUCGGGUUUUUUAAAUGUGUUCGGUUCGGAUCAGAUUGACCGGAUUCGUGGAUCGAACCAAACCCGCUUACACCCCUAGUUCAUGGAUUUGUUGAUGAAAAAUCCAUUGAUCUUACUAAGUGCUCUAGUGCAUCUCAAGACCUGAAUAAAGGUCUAAGUUCUCAAGGAAAAAGACAUAUUUUUAUGAGACUUAGAGAAUUUCUGGAUCAGCAGGGUGCCCAGCGCUUGUCAGUAGCCGCCCAGCGCUUAGGGCGGUUACAGAAACCCAACCUUGAAGUAACUGGGCGCCCAGCGCCCAUAAAGGGCCGCCCAACACUCUGCACAGAUGUAAAGUUCAUUAUAAAAGGAUUUUCUUCAUUUUUAGAAAAAAGAACGGGGUUUUUGGAGAGAGAAUUCGAGAGAGAACAAAAAGGGAAGGGACUUAGAGCUUGGGUAAGCUUCCAUCGAGCUGGAGCUACGCCGAAGUCGGCACGGAUCAUCACUUCCAUCCUAUUUCUCUUGUAAGCUUGUCUAGCUUCCAUGUCUAUGGAUAGCUAAGCUUUUCUUUGUUAGGAUUUGGUGUAGUACCUUGACUCUAUGUAUCUAAUUUAGUUCUUAUGCAUAUGAAUCUAUCUAUCUCUUGAUUUCAAUGGUAUAAUCUUGUUCUUAAA